rnacentral:tRNA from 1 species
ACCCAAGUAGCUCAGAUGGUUAGAGCAAGGCCGACAUAAUCCCCGAAAACCCACAGCGCGGCCUUUAAAAAGUGGUUGAGAGACGCAGGUUCGAGUCCUGCCUUGGGUG